GUGUCAGCCGCCGCGGUAAUACAGAGGGUGCAAGCGUUAAUCGGAAUUACUGGGCGUAAAGCGCGCGUAGGUGGUUUGUUAAGUCGGAUGUGAAAUCCCCGGGCUCAACCUGGGAACUGCAUCCGAAACUGGCAAGCUAGAGUAUGGUAGAGGGUAGUGGAAUUUCCUGUGUAGCGGUGAAAUGCGUAGAUAUAGGAAGGAACACCAGUGGCGAAGGCGACUACCUGGACUGAUACUGACACUGAGGUGCGAAAGCGUGGGGAGCAAACAGGAUUAGAUACCCCCGUAGUCC
rnacentral:rRNA from 1 species